AAUAUUGGACAAUGGGGGCAACCCUGAUCCAGCCAUCCCGCGUGUGCGAUGAAGGNCUNNGGGUUNUNAAGCACUUUUGGCAGNNNNNAAACAGCCUGGGCGAAUACCCUGGGCGACUGACGGUACCUGCAGAAUAAGCACCGGCUAACUACGUGCCAGCAGCCGCGGUAAUACGUAGGGUGCAAGCGUUAAUCGGAAUUACUGGGCGUAAAGCGUGCGCAGGCGGUUCGGAAAGAAAGGUGUGAAAUCCCAGGGCUUAACCUUGGAACUGCACUUUUAACUGCCGGGCUAGAGUACGUCAGAGGGGGGUAGAAUUCCACGUGUAGCAGUGAAAUGCGUAGAGAUGUGGAGGAAUACCGAUGGCGAAGGCAGCCCCCUGGGAUGAUACUGACGCUCAUGCACGAAAGCGUGGGGAGCAAAC
rnacentral:rRNA from 1 species